GACGGGGCCCGCACAAGCGGUGGAGCAUGUGGUUAAUUCGACGCAACGCGAAGAACCUUACCAGGGCUUGACAUCCCCUGACCGCGUAUGAAAGUACGUUUUCACCCUCGGGUGACAGGGAGACAGGUGGUGCAUGGUUGUCGUCAGCUCGUGUCGUGAGAUGUUGGGUUAAGUCCCGCAACGAGCGCAACCCCUACGUUUAGUUGCUAACGCGUGAAGGCGAGCACUCUAGACGAACUGCCGUUGACAAAACGGAGGAAGGUGGGGAUGACGUCAAAUCAUCAUGCCCCUUAUGUUCUGGGCUACACACGUGCUACAAUGGCCGGUACAGACGGACGCAAAGCCGCGAGGUGGAGCAAAUCCUAAAAAGCCGGUCUCAGCUCGGAUUGCAGGCUGCAAUUCGCCUGCAUGAAGUCGGAAUCGCUAGUAAUCGCAGGUCAGCAUACUGCGGUCGAAUACGUUCCCGGGCCUU
rnacentral:rRNA from 1 species